GUGCGUGUUUGGAUACACAAUGGAACCACGGUGAGCCAAAUCACGAUGGAUAGAAACAACUUUCCUUUGCUUUUGGAUUGUCCAAUGUGAUUUUGACUUUACUGUGAUUUCUUGUCGUCUAUCCAAACAUUCAC
rnacentral:pre_miRNA from 1 species